rnacentral:miRNA from 1 species
CCCAAGGUCGAGGUGAUUGA